rnacentral:lncRNA from 1 species
AUUUUGGCAAGAUGGGAAAGUUACAAUAACAAAUAUUUUGCCUGGUUCUCAAAGGAAAGAGGUAAUUUUAUGACAUUUAUGACAUGACCCUAGAAGUGGAAACAUGGUCCAAUCACUGUGAAAGAACUUUGACUUCAUCAGGAUAUGAAAAUGCAGCCAUGAAUUGUUCAAAUUGUUGAGUGAUGAUAAAACUUCAGGCAUUAAGAUGGAUCUGCCAACAGCAAUCACCUCAAAAAGGCUAUGACAGUGACAUAAGUC